GACUUUGUUCUUUACUAGAAGGUGGUGGUAUUAGGCUUUCCUAUUCCCUAUUCUAUUUUCUCAGUGAGGAAAUGACAGAAAAAGUUUGUAUUUCUGACUUGACUAUCUAACUACUGGGAUAAUUAGAUUUAACUUCUGCUAAUCUCUGACCUGUCAGGGUCUUUCAGCUGCUCAAGUACAAAUCUCAUAUUUAAUUCUCUUUUAGGUUCCAUGCAAUAGUGGUGAACCUUUUAGAGCUUUCAAUGAUAUAAACAGCCUAUUGUAGCACAUGGGCCAUAGGUUUGCCACCACUGCAUUAGAGAAUUUAAAUUUUUGCCUUCUACUACAUAGCAAAAUAUAUUUAGGUUAUGAUAAGUAAAGAACAUUGCUUUUUGAUCAGAAAUAAACUGCUUUUUUUUUUUCUUUAACUGCUUCCCACCUUUGAAAUUUUCAGGCUUUCUCAGAAGAUUACUAAUAAUAUUGUUUAUUUUCUGCCAAGAAAUGCUGAUGUUGACCAGAGGCUGUGAAGCUGAGGCCUCAUAAGUCAGUUGGGAAGGGAAGACAAAGGCAGUUUUGCUGAAAUGAUUCCUGAGCAUAAGCUUAUAUUUUCUUCGGUGCUGUGAGUAAAUUUUCUCAAUCGGUGGUGUCAAUAGAAAACAGGGAUGCCCAGCUCUUCUGUACCCCACAUGGUCCCUGAUAUUUGGUCUGUUCUAUUUUGUGUAACUUGUUAAAGAACAGCCCUCAUGCUUUCAGGAUGCAGUUCUGAAAACAGAUAAGGGACAAAGCUCAGGAGCUGAUUAUUGAUCACCUCCCCAAACCAAUCAAGGUGGCAUCCUUAGCUGGGCCAGGGGGUCAAGUAGAAAUAGAACAGAAUUUUCUUAACAAUAAAUUGAAGACAAUCACGGCUUAUUUUGGUGACCUGAUCCGAAAACCAGCCUCUGAAACCUAACUGUGAAGCAACACAAAGACAAAAAGAUCCUGUAAUAAUCAGAACAUUGUUCACAUAAGACACUGGGAAUGUCUUUCUGUGUUCACUGAUACUUUGUACACAUACUCUUCUAACAUCACACAAUAUGGAAAUUUACAUGAGUUUAAUGAAUAUUAAUGAAGUGCUUUGAGAUCUUUGGAUUAUAUUAAUGAAGUACUAUGUGUAUUGUACAUUAGGAUAGUAAGUGUGUGAUAUGGACAGGGGACAAGGUUGCUCCUCUGCUUUAUUUCAGCAUGUGUCUGUAUGUGUGUAUUUAUAUUUUUUGUUUUUUUAUCUUUGUGAAUAUAUACAUACACACACCUAUACACAUUCAUAUGUUUAUAUAAAAAUAAUUGUUUUAAUAGAGAAAAAUACAAAGAAAAUUAUGAAUGAGUGAUGGUUUAUCCACCCAUUUAACCUCUACUGAAAUAAUGUACAUUUAAUGCUGAAGGUGUAUAAUUUAAUUUAGAACAGUACAGAAUGAUACAAAAAGAAGAAUUUCACACCCCUUCUCUACCGUUUAUUUAUCUACCUAAAGAUAAUCACAGCUGUGUUAGGACACAAAGGAAUUGUAGCAUACCCUAAUACACUGUUUUUCCUCACUGUUUAAUACUUUGCCACCUUUUUUAUUUAAUACAAUUUUUAAUCAGUAUUUCUUGAAGACCUUUCCAUAUCAGCACAUACAUAGAGACCUACCUCAUUUUUUUAAUGUUUUUUUUUGUAUUCUGCUUUCUCAAUAUACCAUGAUUAAAUUAGUUGCCUAUUGGUGGUCACUUGGGUUGCUUUCAGAUUUUUUACAUUUGUCAACUGUUUGCACUGUGUUUAGGUAUAUAUUGUUGAACGUGUAUCCAUUGGGUAAAUAUGUAGCAGUUUAUAUUGCUAGGAGUUUGCUUUCAUUUUGUUGUAGUUUGGCUUAGUUUUUGAGGCCUCACUGUGUCACCUAGACUGGCCUCAAACUUGUGAUCCACCUCCAGAGUGCUGGGAUUGCAAGAGUGCACUAUCACACCCAGAAGUCUGUUUAUUUUAACUCUGAUAGGCAAAAUCAGAUUGCCUCAGUAAAAUUGGGCUCACUUAGCCUUUUAGAGAGUUUUCUUGUUUUCAUGUCUUUGCAUCAUCUGGAAUUUGCUUUUGAACAUCCUUUUAAAAAAAAUGAGUGUUUUUCAGAUUUCCUUUGCAAAUUCAAUGUGAAAUAUAUUUUGUAAUACAGAAAUUUAUAUUAUUUUUCUAUUAAAAUGGCAAUGAAAAGAGGAGGCAUAGUGUUGCUUAAUUAUUCACCUAAAAUGUGUUCUGUAAUUUUAACAAGUACGAGUGACAUACAGUUCCUUGCCUUUAGGGUUAGAUGCCGGAAUUUUAUCUUUUAAUAAUGUGAGCAUGUGAAAUAUUAAAACACCAUAUUGGUUGGGAUAAGGCUAGGGAAGAGGAUAUAGCUCAGUUUUAGAGUGUGUGCUUAUGUGCUUAGUGUGCAAGGGGCACUCAGCUCAUUUCCCAGCACCAAAUAGUAAUAUUAUGAACAAAGCCAACUUUUGAGUAUGCUAACAUUAGUCCUUUAAAAUUUUACAAUGUGAUUAUUUUUGUUAGAAAUAAAAUAAUACACUUAAUUUCUUUUUCCUACGGUAACAUUUUACAAAAGAGUUACUGGACAAUUGUUUUAUUCUCAAAUUGAUCUCAAACUGGAUGUAAAAAUUUGAAUCAUUUUUUUUUUAAUAGUAGUAUAAGAACUUUGGCUGCUAUUAGUUGUUACUCUUUAUUUUUCUGGAUAUAAGCUUUUUGAGAAGUCCAGUUUCUGUCCCUGUAUAGUAAAAUGUAGUUUCUCAGUUUUUUGUUUUGUUUUAAUGCUUUAUAUUUUAUACUACCUUUGGAAUAAACCUCAUUCUUCAUUGGACAACUUAAAGGCUUUGAUUUCUUUAAAAAUUGAAAUUUUAAUAUGUGUGCUACUUUGGCAUUCACUUAACUUUGAUAUGCACUGAUCACUGCUUGAAAAAGACAAGACUGAAGAUUGUACUUUGAAAUUUAUUGAGUAAUUUUCAUAAAUAUCAAAUGAGAGGUUUUUAGAUUUUUGUAUUCUGUGUAGUUUAAAAAUAAUAGUAGUUAUAGUAAAUAAAUAAAUAAUAGUAAUUAAAGAGAGGCAAAGUAACAAAUGGGAAAAGGAUGACUCAUCAUUCUGUAUCUGAGUACAUUUUCCAAAAUGUUGGCAAGGAACUUCUGAAUUGAAAUCUUGAAUGUAUUGAAUCUGUCAAGGUACACAGCUGGUGCCUUUGUGAAUGUUCAUUAUCUAUUAAUCAGGUGGUAAGUGGUGCAAUGUAGCAAAGCUGAAGAAUAGAACUCAGUUGUCACCUUUUGACUAAAGUAUUCUAGCACUAAUCACAAGAGGAAGUAACUAAUUUAUAGACUUUAAUAGAUUGUCAGUGUUCAAAAGGACUUUAGAAAUGUUCGUUACUUUGUGACUUGUUCAAAUAAAAUCUUACUAAGAAGCCAAAUAUGUAAAGUAGAUUAAAAACAAAGCUCAUGGAACUGCUUAGGAUAAAAUAAGAAUCAAGAAAUCAGCAGCCCUGUUCGGAUCCAGCCUGUUCUUCUUAAUAAACUGUAAAACCUUUGAGCCAGGGAUUUACCUCAGUGUCACCGACCCUGCCUUGCAAGCUCAAGGUCCAGAGUUUGAUUCCCAGUACAAAAAAAAAUUGUAAAACCUUUAAAAGAAGAAUUAUUUAAUAAAAGUAAAUAUAUAUUUUAA